GGUGAGCACAGGCCCAGUCACGGGAGGACGGUGACAUCUGGCUGGGGAAAUGCAAGGGGCAGAGAUGAGCUGCGCAGCCUCAGAAGCCAGAGACGUCCCCACAGGCUUCCUCUGCUCCAGCCAUGUUCCUGUCAUCUCUGUGCUGUGUGACUCUAGCGGCAUCAGACAGAAGUAACAGACCUGCAGCCAUGGCAGAGAUGAGGCAAGAGAGACCCUAACGGACCUCCAGACCCAAGGCCCCAGCAGGAAAGUACUUACUGCCCAGGAGCAAAUGGAUCCCAGGAGUCCUGUAUGCAAGAUGACGGGCUACCCUGGGCUCACACAGAGAAGAAGGGAAUUGGCAAGCUUGG